UGGCGGACGGGUGAGUAACGCGUGGGUAACCUGCCUCAUACAGGGGGAUAACAGUUAGAAAUGACUGCUAAUACCGCAUAAGACCACGGAGCCGCAUGGCUCAGUGGGAAAAACUCCGGUGGUAUGAGAUGGACCCGCGUCUGAUUAGGUAGUUGGUGGGGUAACGGCCUACCAAGCCAACGAUCAGUAGCCGACCUGAGAGGGUGACCGGCCACAUUGGGACUGAGACACGGCCCAA
rnacentral:rRNA from 1 species